rnacentral:snRNA from 1 species
AUGUUCACUUUGGCAGCACAUAUACCAAAACUGGAGUGAUACAGAGAGGAUUAGGAUGGCCGCCGCACAAGAAUGACAUGAAAAUUCAUGAAGCAUUCUAUAUUUUA